GUAUUAUAGUUGGUAGGCCGUUCGACUGGCAAUCGAAAUCGAAAAAGGUUGCUGGAUCAAAUCCGACAG
rnacentral:tRNA from 1 species